AAAAAAAGCAAAACAGCUUUAUUGUUGAUACGGGGAAAUUUGAGUGGUCCGGAUAGAAGAUCAAACCAGUCACAACCUUCCCUUAAGCCAAAGCCGAACCCAGAGGAAGGCCUUAACUCUCUUCAGUUCUAUAAAGGCUAAGAGAGGUUGGAAAGCUGCAGAAGAAAAGUUUGAAGCUAGGCAGAGGUGGUUCAUGAGGCUUAAGGAAAGAAGCUGUCUCUGUCAUGUAAAAGUGCAAGGUGAAGCAGCAAGUGCUGAUGGAGAAGCUGUAGCAAGCUAUCCAGAAGAUCUAGCAUAAUAAUCAAUGAAGAUGAACCCACUAAACAGAUUUCCACUGUAGAUGAAACAGCCUUAUAUGGGAAGAAGAUGACAUGCAGGACUUUCAUUGCUAGAAAUGAGAAGUCACGGCCUGGCUUCAAAGCUUCAAGGGACAUGCUGACUCUUGUUAGGGGCUAAUGCAGCUGGUGAUUUUAAGUUGAAGCCAAUGUUCGUUUACCAUUCUGAAAAUCCUCGGGCCCUGUAGAAUUAUGCUAAAUGUGUUCUGCCUGUGCUCUAUAAAUGAAGCUGCAAAGCUUGAAUGACAGCACAUCUGUUUACAGCAUGGUUUACUGAAUAUUUUAAGCCCACUGUUGAGAUCUGUUGCUCAGGAAAAAAGUUUCCUUUCAAAAU
rnacentral:lncRNA from 1 species